UUGCUUCAGCAGUACAUAUGCUAAAAUUGGAACGAUACAGAGAAGAUUAGCAUUGGCCCCUGUGCAAGGAUGACAUGCAAAUUAGUUAAGUGUUCCAUAUUUAA
rnacentral:snRNA from 10 species